AUGGCCCUGGGUGGACACUGUGGUUUCUGUCUCUGUCUUGCGCCAGCACACAGCCAACUCACAAUGCUCAGCUUCCAUGCAGGCUUCCACCCUCCAUGCGCAGCCUCAAUUGUUUACUUUCCUUUUUUCUUCCAGGUGCUAGAGUUCCCAACCGACUGGAGGCAAACAACAGCCACAGGAAUCUACACUGUAGCUGAGGCACCCUGCUCCAGGAAGUCCCUGGCUGUAGCUAUUCUGAGAGUCGCAGCCCUUGAAGUAAGCAUCCACACUGGCCCCCAAUGGCCUGCUGCCUUGAUUGAGUCUCCAUUGCCUCUGUGCUCAUCUUGUCCCUGCCCCUGGACUGCACCCUUGUCCCAGGGACUGCUGGGAGUUUCUCUGUGCUCCCACACAGUGAGAACAAUGCCAUUUGAUAACUCAGUGAUGCCAUCCUCCAAUGUGAGAAGGAAACUGCAAUUAAAAUGUAGACCUUACAUGUCGUCAGCUUAUUCCUCCCUUCUGACUCCAGCUGGGCAGGCAUAAGGCCAGGAUGGCCUGUGGGCUCACAUUGGUGCAUAUGCCAGGCUGGCAGGGAGCUCUGUGGCAAGGCUGCAGUUGGACCACUGGGAGUUGCAGGGGGCAAAGAAGUUCUAGGAUUCUGGCAUUUGGCCUGGGCCCCUCAGUCAUAGCCCCAGUGAGCUCUGAACACCUUGUGGGGUUCACCACACUGCCUAAAGCAUGGAGGGAGGGGUCAGUUCUUCCUUGUCUGUCCCUUAUGCUCCUUGAAGAGUAUGGACCACCUUCUGCCACCUGUAGUUUGGCUAACUGCAUGAUCUGAGAUGAGGGGCAGGAAGGCACAUGGGCAAAACUGACACUUGGGAGCCUGGUGGGCCCAGAGCUAACUACAGACGUGGACUGUGCCAAGUCCUAUGGAUCAGGCCCAUCUUGGAGAUUGCUCUGAGCAUGUUAGCAGAGGUGGGUGGUAGAGGUUCACAUCCUUAUGCAAGGAAAAUCUCAGGCACAAGACGUAGUAGAGGUAAGCAAGGUAGCAAGGUUUAAUGGAGGAGGGCUUCCAUCAGAUGAAUCUGAGAGGGAGUGUUCUGUCAUUUGCACUGGGGUUAAGGUUAUACAGUUUAAUGUUGAGAAUACAUCCACAACAACAAAGCAAACACCCCAGUUAAGAGAUGGGCAAAGGACUUUAACAGACAUUUUUCAAAAGAGGAAAUCCAAAUGGCCAACAGACACAUAAAGAUAUGUUCAGGACCAUUAGCCAUCAGGGAAAUGCAGUUCAAAACCACAAUGAGGUUUCACCUGACUCCAGUUAGAAUGGCUUUCAUACAGAAAUCAACAAACAACAAAUGCUGGCGAGGAUAUGGGGAAAAAGGUACCUAGACCAUUGUUGGUAGGAAUGUAAACUGGUAAAGCCACUAUGGAAGACAGUAUAGAAAUACCUCAAAAAAUCUGAAUAUGGACCUACCAUCUGACCCAGCCAUCUCUCUCCUGGGAAUUUACCCAAGGGAAAUGAAAUCAGUAAAUAAAAGAGUUAAUCUGCACCCCCUUGUUUAUUGC
rnacentral:lncRNA from 1 species